AAUAAGCGGAGGAAAAGAAACCAACAGGGAUUGCCCUAGUAACGGCGAGUGAAGCGGCAACAGCUCAAAUUUGAAAUCUGGCGUCUUUGGCGUCCGAGUUGUAAUUUGCAGAGGGCGCUUUGGCAUUGGCAGCGGUCCAAGUUCCUUGGAACAGGACGUCACAGAGGGUGAGAAUCCCGUACGUGGUCGCUAGCCUUUACCGUGUAAAGCCCCUUCGACGAGUCGAGUUGUUUGGGAAUGCAGCUCUAAAUGGGAGGUAAAUUUCUUCUAAAGCUAAAUACUGGCCAGAGACCGAUAGCGCACAAGUAGAGUGAUCGAAAGAUGAAAAGCACUUUGGAAAGAGAGUUAAAAAGCACGUGAAAUUGUUGAAAGGGAAGCGCUUGCAGCCAGACUUGCCUGUAGUUGCUCAUCCGGGUUUCUACCCGGUGCACUCUUCUAUAGGCAGGCCAGCAUCAGUUUGGGCGGUUGGAUAAAGGUCUCUGUCAUGUACCUCUCUUCGGGGAGAACUUAUAGGGGAGACGACAUGCAACCAGCCUGGACUGAGGUCCGCGCAUCUGCUAGGAUGCUGGCGUAAUGGCUGUAAGCGGCCCGUCUUGAAACACGGACCAAGGAGUCUAACAUCUAUGCGAGUGUUUGGGUGUCAAGCCCGAACGCGUAAUGAAAGUGAACGGAGGUGGGAACCUUUCGGGGUGCACCAUCGACCGAUCCUGAUGUCUUCGGAUGGAUUUGAGUAAGAGCAUAGCUGUUGGGACCCGAAAGAUGGUGAACUAUGCUUGAAUAGGGUGAAGCCAGAGGAAACUCUGGUGGAGGCUCGCAGCGGUUCUGACGUGCAAAUCGAUCGUCAAAUUUGGGCAUAGGGGCGAAAGACUAAUCGAACUAUCUAGUAGCUGGUUCCUGCCGAA
rnacentral:rRNA from 1 species